GCCGCCGUGUGGCGGGAGGAAGCGCGUCAUGACAGCGCGCGCCUCUGGGGCGGAAGUGGUGAGGGAGUGCGUCCUCUCGCGGGCGGGCUUGGGAGAGGCGCUGGUGGUGGGACCCGGUACCGGCCCCGGCCCCGGCCCCGGCCCCGGUACAGGCCCGGUCUCCCUCCCGCUGGUAGCCCCGCCCGCCUCCCGCCGCGCAGGGGCAGGGCGAAGCCGCCCCGGCGCCGCGAAUUGGGCGUUCUCUGUAGGGCGCUCGGAGGCUCGCGGUGUGGGCGUUUUCUCCCGUGGCCGGGUCCCCGUUCUCUGGCGGGCUGCUUGUUGAAGCUCUGAAGGGCGGUCGGCAGAAACUAGGAGGCUUGAGUGACCUCUAGCCCUGGCCCUGCGGGCUCGUCACGGGCUCUUUCGUUAACGAAGCAUUGCCUCUCGAGCAGUCGCUUCUCUGCAGCAAGCCGGCACUCUGCCCUCGGUGAGGGAGCCUUAGCCAUGCCUGUUAGCAGCACACCCAACCCUUCCAUUGCACAAGAGCUCUUGUUAAUCAGGGAGGCAAGUUCAAAGACAGUCUAAGAGGUCAUCCUUUCAAAAGAUCUCAAGGACGUAGGAGGGAGCUCCCCCUAAACCUACUUCACUUUAUUUACAAAGUAAUCACCACUGUGUCGGUGAGAGAAGGGCUUUGAAUUAGCCACUGCAGAGAAACUGCUGUAUGAAACAAAUUUAUUGAAGGAGGCGUGGCCGAUUCAAGGUGAAAGCUGACUUAGCUGCCUUCACAACAGCAGUGAGAGGGAAAAUGUUGGCAGCCUGACAAUAAUGAAUAACACUGGCACUGGCAGACUUUCUUCCUUCAGGAAGUAAGGACUCCUGAGGCAGGCGGGCAGCUGCUGCACUGGAUGUGGUACCCUGAGUGUGACGCCCACUGUGUUGCCAUGGAGACCGUGCUGAAAACAGACCUCCCCUUGUCUGGGACCUCUGUCGUGUGGGGAAACCUGCAGGAUUUCUCUCCAAGUAAUGACUGCGCUUCCACAGUCUGGGAUACCACUUCCCAAGACCUGUGCAGGAGGAGAGUCUCCGAUAUGGAAAUUUAAAUCUUUAGAAGAUAUUUUUAACGGGUAUUUCAUUAAUGAUGUCUCACAGGGGGAAAAUAAGGAAGACUUGAAGAUAUCUGCUUUUACAAAGUAGGAAAACAUAUGGAUAAGUUCCUGAUGUAUUAAACUGUUAAGGGAAGGUGUAGGUGAACAUUUGCAAGCCAUGUGCAAACUGACUUGGGUAAAACUGCUUCUCAGGAAGGAUUUGUGCCACAGAUGGAUUAGUAACAGGACCUUACACCGGUGCAAGAAAAGGGUUUUUUUGUUGUUUUGGUUUUUGCUUUUAAUGUGGUUGGACUCUUGCUGCUGAUAGCGAAGCCCUGGCUCAGUCCUCAAGUGCUUUCACGGCGAGGUUGGACCCAGGUAAUGAGGUCUUCUUCCUUUUAAACCUAAAAUAGGCUUGGAUGCGAUUCAAUGCCUGCCAGAGUUAAACUAGACUUCACUCCUGUCUGCUGUGGUUUGUGGGGGAGAGCACUAUCUCUCCAUUAAGAUAAAACUUCUCUUUGUCACUAUAAAACGUCAGCCUAAACUAGGAGUCAGUUAAUCAGACUAUUUACUUUAGAAGGUUUUGGAAUACGCCCCAAAAGCACAACCCCAAAUAUCUUUAUUCAUGUGAACAGUUUUCCUGGAGUCAGUAGGCCUGCUAAUACGCAACUACUUGAGUAACACAGGAUUAUGUUUUAAUUCUGUAAUUUGACUGCCUGCUUAUUCUUAAUGACGUUUAUUUGUAGGAAUGAUGUGUUUUGGGAAGUGAGGUCAGCUGCCACAUUUGUGGUGUUCAUCUGUCUGCAGCCUUUGAUCUUGCAAUGUAUCAGUCACUAAAAAAAGAAGCGAUUACUCAAGUGUAAAAAUGAAAUGGUUGGUAAUAUUAGUGGAUGGUACCCUAUGAAUAUUCUCAAGUGUAGGGUGCAGAAAUGAUGCUCAUUUCAAAACAACAGUAAAAAGUACAACAUGCUCCAUUAAAGAUUUUACAGAUUAGCACUGUAUCAUUGGAAUUUUAGUUUGAAAUAAGUUUUUAUUUUUAAAAUUUGGGGGUUUUCACCAUAGAAAAAGUAUUCCAAUGUGUUUGUAAUUUUUUAUGUUAAGUAAAA